UGAGGAAUAUUGGUCAAUGGGCGCGAGCCUGAACCAGCCAAGUAGCGUGCAGGAUGACGGCCCUAUGGGUUGUAAACUGCUUUUGUAUGGGGAUAAAGUCAAUCACGUGUGAUUGUUUGCAGGUACCAUACGAAUAAGGACCGGCUAAUUCCGUGCCAGCAGCCGCGGUAAUACGGAAGGUCCGGGCGUUAUCCGGAUUUAUUGGGUUUAAAGGGAGCGUAGGCCGGAGAUUAAGUGUGUUGUGAAAUGUAGACGCUCAACGUCUGACUUGCAGCGCAUACUGGUUUCCUUGAGUACGCACAACGUUGGCGGAAUUCGUCGUGUAGCGGUGAAAUGCUUAGAUAUGACGAAGAACUCCGAUUGCGAAGGCAGCUGACGGGAGCGCAACUGACGCUUAAGCUCGAAGGUGCGGGUAUCGAACAGGAAUAGAUACCCUGGUAGUCCGCACAGUAAACGAUGGAUGCCCGCUGUUGGUACCUGGUAUCAGCGGCUAAGCGAAAGCAUUAAGCAUCCCACCUGGGGAGUACGCCGGCCGGU
rnacentral:rRNA from 1 species